CCGCAGCGUGAAACGGUGCUGCGAGGGAGGAAGGAAAGCUCGUCGAAGAUUCGCCUUCUUCGAUUUCGAUUAGCACGAACCGACGUACGCUGGGAUCGAGCGUGAACAAGCGACCAGCGAGAGGAAAUUCGAGAAGAAGAUCGGAAAAAAGGCGCCAAUGGAAGCACCCUGUGGCACGCGUUGCUACAGGAAAACACCCUCUCGAGCAGGAUUUAGAUGUUCCGUCAUUUCCUGGCAUCCACUUCCCGAUACGACACGUGUCCCCCAGCCACGGUAGUCGUAAUGCAUCCCAAAACGAGGGGGAGAAGACGAUUUAUUAGGAAGCAGGAGCGUAAUGCACCUAACGAAACUAGGAUUCUAUAAAUAUUCAUCUACACCAAUAUUUUUCAUUCAUAUUUAUCCUUUCUAUUAAUAAAAACCAUUUCUAACUUUUAAAA